GAUUGAACGCUGGCGGCAGGCCUAACACAUGCAAGUCGAGCGGUAGCACAGAGAGCUUGCUCUCGGGUGACGAGCGGCGGACGGGUGAGUAAUGUCUGGGAAACUGCCUGAUGGAGGGGGAUAACUACUGGAAACGGUAGCUAAUACCGCAUAACGUCGCAAGACCAAAGUGGGGGACCUUCGGGCCUCAUGCCAUCAGAUGUGCCCAGAUGGGAUUAGCUAGUAGGUGGGGUAACGGCUCACCUAGGCGACGAUCCCUAGCUGGUCUGAGAGGAUGACCAGCCACACUGGAACUGAGACACGGUCCAGACUCCUACGGGAGGCAGCAGUGGGGAAUAUUGCACAAUGGGCGCAAGCCUGAUGCAGCCAUGCCGCGUGUGUGAAGAAGGCCUUCGGGUUGUAAAGCACUUUCAGCGGGGAGGAAGGCGUUAAGGUUAAUAACCUUGGCGAUUGACGUUACCCGCAGAAGAAGCACCGGCUAACUCCGUGCCAGCAGCCGCGGUAAUACGGAGGGUGCAAGCGUUAAUCGGAAUUACUGGGCGUAAAGCGCACGCAGGCGGUCUGUCAAGUCGGAUGUGAAAUCCCCGGGCUCAACCUGGGAACUGCAUUCGAAACUGGCAGGCUAGAGUCUUGUAGAGGGGGGUAGAAUUCCAGGUGUAGCGGUGAAAUGCGUAGAGAUCUGGAGGAAUACCGGUGGCGAAGGCGGCCCCCUGGACAAAGACUGACGCUCAGGUGCGAAAGCGUGGGGAGCAAACAGGAUUAGAUACCCUGGUAGUCCACGCCGUAAACGAUGUCGAUUUGGAGGUUGUGCCCUUGAGGCGUGGCUUCCGGAGCUAACGCGUUAAAUCGACCGCCUGGGGAGUACGGCCGCAAGGUUAAAACUCAAAUGAAUUGACGGGGGCCCGCACAAGCGGUGGAGCAUGUGGUUUAAUUCGAUGCAACGCGAAGAACCUUACCUGGUCUUGACAUCCACAGAACCUUCCAGAGAUGGAUUGGUGCCUUCGGGAACUGUGAGACAGGUGCUGCAUGGCUGUCGUCAGCUCGUGUUGUGAAAUGUUGGGUUAAGUCCCGCAACGAGCGCAACCCUUAUCCUUUGUUGCCAGCGGUUCGGCCGGGAACUCAAAGGAGACUGCCAGUGAUAAACUGGAGGAAGGUGGGGAUGACGUCAAGUCAUCAUGGCCCUUACGACCAGGGCUACACACGUGCUACAAUGGCAUAUACAAAGAGAAGCGACCUCGCGAGAGCAAGCGGACCUCAUAAAGUAUGUCGUAGUCCGGAUUGGAGUCUGCAACUCGACUCCAUGAAGUCGGAAUCGCUAGUAAUCGUAGAUCAGAAUGCUACGGUGAAUACGUUCCCGGGCCUUGUACACACCGCCCGUCACACCAUGGGAGUGGGUUGCAAAAGAAGUAGGUAGCUUAACCUUCGGGAGGGCGCUUACCACUUUGUGAUUCAUGACUGGGGUGAAGUCGUAACAAGG
rnacentral:rRNA from 1 species